AGAUAAUCAAGUACAGAUGGUGUGUUAGUACUACUUAGGUAGUGAUGGGCAACAGGAAAAUAAGAUGAGAGGAAUAAGCAGAUAUAGUGAGCUGUUUAAAUCUGGGUGGCAGUAUGCUGAAAGCUCUCUCUUAAAGUCCUUCCAAUGGUGGAGAAUAAGGUGAUAACCCCAAUAUUAAUAAUAACAUUGGCAUAUGAAGAAAAACCCUAUGCUACCUCUCUUACCUCAUCCAUUGCUUGAAUUGACCAGCUGAUUUGGUUUCAAAGCCUGAGUUCUUUUCCAUUAUUGAAGCUCCAUUUGAUUUUCUUUCUCUUGGUUGACAGGGACAUCCUUCCUGAUUGGAGGAAGACCAUUUUUUAAGACAAAAUAAUAUGAGUUGCUGCUCUCUUCUGCUAGGACCUAUACCAGAGUUAACAUGAAAGCUUCACAUGUGAGAUAAAUGCACUCAAAGACUCCUCACAAGUAGCUCUUUGGAGCUUCAGAUGUGAAAUGGAUCAUUCCUCAAGCUGUAAUAGACCCUUUGGUGAAGCUCUUCAAUCAAACCUGAGAAUUCAAGACGUUUUGUAGCAUCCUAAACAGAAGGAUAUUGAAGGGAGCUGAUUCUGCUUUGAUCCUUGUGCUUGUUGUCAAAGCGCUUGGGAUUGAAGAGACUGUUGGCUACAAUUGACUGUGACAAUUAGGAGAUGAUCAGAGCCCUAGAGUGGAGCACUUAAAGGGGUCACACUCUACGCAGGCAUAUGAAGGUCCCAGCCUAGGUAAAGCUGAAUUGGAGCUGCAGCUGCCAACCUACACUACAGCCAUGGCAACUCGGGAUCAGAGCUGCAUAUGUGACCUACACCACUGCUCAUGGCAAUGCUGGAUCCUUA